rnacentral:misc_RNA from 1 species
UCAGCAGUGCGCUCCCCGCCUCCUCCCCCUCCCCCGCCAGCCCCCACUUUCUUCGCAGCCGCAGAGGCACCAAGCCAAAUCGGAACGAAAGACGGUUUACUUUUAUUUCGCGUCUCAAAUCGUCCUCAGUGGGUCUUUUGUGUGUGCGUGUGUGUGCGUGCUUGUCCCUCUUUCCCUCUACCGCGUUCUUGCGACUUCAACAGGAGGGGGGCCGUAUCACCUCUCUCCUCCCCGCCCCGCCGCGCCCCGGUGUGUUGCCGGCGUUUUUUUUUCCAUUCCUGUUCUUUUUUUUUUUUGGUUUUGUACCUCUUGUCUGCGCCAUAUUUUUGCUCGUUGUGGGCGCGUUGCGCUAACGAAGAAGACAAGCAAAACAAACUUCGGAUAAAGCAGCACGAAACAAAAAAGGAGACGCCUUUCCGUGUCUGCGGGGGUGACUGCCCGUCUUGUUGCGUUGGUCUGUCGUCACAUUUAUUUUUUCCCCGUUGGCGUUUACUUGUACCUCCCCUCCCUUACACCCUUGACUCUAACAACAGCAUUUUUUGUGUGUUUCAUUUAUUUAUUUAUUUUUUGGUGUGUUUGUUUGUGUCUCUUGCUCCAUCUACUUACCCUUUCGUCCCACUGUGUCAACUGCGCACUCUUCAUCUCUACGAACCUCGCCCACAUAUAGGUACUCCUCUUCGCUGUUUCUGCUGUCACCGUGACAGCAUCCGCCGCAUCAUGAAGGUGGAGAAUAGCAAGAUGGGGGUGAAGCGAGAGCAGAGCCACUCCAAUGAGGAUGAAGAAAUCAACGAGGAGGACCUGAACUGGUGGGAGCAGGAAAACCUCCGUAUCGCCAUGAAGGGCGAGCGUCGCUGGGAGACGCUGGCCCACAACGGCGUCCUUUUUCCACCCGAGUACGAGCCCCACGGCAUCCCCAUCUUCUACGACGGACGCGAGUUCAAGAUGACGCCGGAGGAGGAAGAAGUGGCGACGAUGUUCGCCGUGAUGAAGGAGCACGACUACUACCGUAUGGAGGUGUUCCGGCGCAACUUCUUCGAAAGCUGGCGCGAGAUCCUGGACAAGCGCCAGCACCCCAUCCGUCGCCUGGAGCUCUGCGACUUCGAGCCCAUUUAUCAGUGGCACCUCGUCCAGCGGGAAAAGAAGCUCAGCCGGACGAAAGAAGAAAAGAAGGCCAUCAAGGAGAAGCAGGACGCGGAGGCAGAACCGUACCGAUACUGCGUGUGGGACGGGCGUCGCGAGCAGGUGGCGAAUUUCCGCGUUGAGCCGCCGGGACUGUUCCGCGGACGCGGCAAGCACCCGCUAAUGGGCAAGCUGAAGGUGCGCGUGCAGCCGGAGGACAUUACAAUCAAUAUUGGCGAGACGGCUGAGGUGCCGGUGCCGCCUGCGGGGCACAAAUGGGCUGCUGUGCAGCACGACCACACCGUGACGUGGCUUGCCAUGUGGCGCGACAGCGUGGCUGGAAACAUGAAGUACGUCAUGCUCGCCCCGUCUUCCAGUGUCAAGGGACAGUCCGACAUGGUGAAGUUCGAGAAGGCACGCAAGCUCAAAGACAAAGUGGAUGACAUUCGCGCAUCCUACAUGGAGGAUUUCAAGUCCAAUGAUUUGCACGUGGCGCAGCGGGCCGUCGCCAUGUACUUUAUUGACCGCCUCGCCCUCCGCGUUGGUAAUGAGAAGGGCGAGGACGAGGCGGAUACGGUGGGUUGCUGCUCGCUGCGUGUGGAGCACAUCCAGCUCAUGCCGGACAACAUCGUGCGGUUCGACUUCCUGGGCAAGGACUCGAUCCGCUACCAGAACGAUGUGGCGGUGCUGCCGGAGGUGUACGCGCUACUGCAGCGUUUCACUCGUCGUAAGUCGCCGGGCAUGGACAUCUUUGACCAGCUCAACCCCACGCAGCUGAAUGACCACCUCAAGUCCUUCAUGGACGGCCUCUCUGCCAAGGUGUUCCGUACCUACAAUGCCUCCAUCACCCUCGAUCGGUGGUUCAAAGAAAAGCCGGUCGACCCCAAAUGGUCCACCGCGGACAAGCUGGCCUACUUCAACAAGGCGAACACCGAGGUGGCCAUUCUGUGCAACCAUCAGAAGUCCGUCUCGAAGAACUUCAAGUUGCAGAUGAUGCAGCUGACCACCAAGUCCGAGUACACCCGCAAGACGAUUGAGCUCCUGGAGAAGGCGGAGGUGACCGCCAAGAAGAAGUCGGUCGAGGAGGCUGCGAAGGAGUUUCUGGAGGAGCAGGACCGCAUGCAGCGCGAGUGGCUGGAGAGCUACGGCACGGAGGAGCAGAAGAAGGAGUUCGAGGAGAUCGUGGCAAAGCGUGCGGCGCCGCGCGUGCGGUCUGAGAAGAAGAAAUCCACGUCGGGCGCCAAGAAGGCCGAGUCCGCAUCUGGCAAGAAGAGGGCCGCCAAAAAGAAGAAGUCUGCCAAGAAGGGUGGAAAGAUGUUGAGCAAGAAGGCAGCAAGCAAGUCGUCCAAGAAGGCGCCAAAGAAGUUGAAGGAGGAGGACGAGGACGACGUGCCGCUCGUGAGCGUGGCAGCCAAGACGAAGAAGACGGCUGGCGUCAAGCGGCAGCGCGCCAACAAGGUGGUCAGUGACGACGAUGAUGUGCCUCUUGCAGCUUUGAGGGUGUAGGUACGAGUACUGCACCGCGUAAGACAAGGAAAAGGGAGCGAAGAAGCACGCCUACACUCGCCAACCCGGAGGGAUGAGUGCAGUGCUGUGUUGAGUGUGUUGCAUUUCGGUGUCUUUUAUAUGGUCGUGUGUGUAUAACGUCGUCGAUGCUCUCAGCGGUUUACUCCCGUGUGCACAUUCACAAGUGACUCCGUUCGUCUGUCGGUGUUGGAGUGCGUAUGGUCGUUGUGGCGGUGGUUCUCUGGAUCCGCAUGCGUUUGUGCUUGCUUAUUGUGUGUGUGUGUGUGUGUGUAGAGGUGUGUCUGCUUCAUCUGAUCCCCUGUGCCCCGCCCCUCCCCCGGCCUCUAGGCCCCUGUCCCUCUUGUGUUCUCGUUCGCGCCCCCUUGUGUGUUAGGCGGGCUCUCAACCUCUGAAGUUCGGACUCGGCUGUCGCGUGCCCUACUGGUUGUGUGUGUGCGUGUACGUGUGUGUAUGUGCUUGCUAGCGCGUGCGCGAAUCACCCAGUCUCUUGUUAGCUGCCACCAGCCACUACUCACGGAAAAGUGGGCCAAACGAAAGUGAGGCACAGCAUGUAGGGGCGUCCCCUUGUAGACGCGCGCGUCGCCUGGUUGGUACCGUUGCAAACCGUUGCACAUAUGGAGGUUCUGAACGUCAUCGUUUUUUUUUGGUGGUGUGGGGAGCCUCGCAUGCGUCUCUGGGUAUCUAUAAGUGUCUCCGUUUGUUUUCCUCCUCCACUGUUCGACGUUUUGCUGUUGUCUACCUGCGCACAGCGUAUACUUGUGUGCGCCCGCCUCUUUACUUAUCCUCGCCGUCACCGCUGCCACGAUGCGAGGGCGUGUCGCGGAGAAGAGAGGGGGAGGGCCAAUGUCGACCAUCUCAAUAGAGUAAGGCGAGCGAAGGUCAAAGCCAUACACGUUCUCCAGGGCCGCUACUUUGCGUCACCAUGUGCAUUGCCAGGAGGAGUACCUGAACACGUGGGUGGACAAGACGUCCGCCGUGGCGCUACCUGGAACACGUCGCUGCCAGUGCGGCGGAUAUGGUGAGUGGGAAGAAGAAGCCUUGAAACUCCGAGCCUACCGACUCCUCACGUUUGUUUUACGAAUGCCCGCUAUCCCUCCCCCUCCCCCUCCGUUCCGUCGUCUUGACGUCUCCAUGAAUUCCUUCGCCCUCUCUUGAAG